UCAAUCAUGCUGGGAGCUGCAGACUGGAGCUGUUCCUAUUUGGCCAUCUUGGGAGGGAAUCUACAGCUCAGCUUCUUAAGUGACUGGUAGUAAGAAUUACACCAAAUUGAAAAGAUAUGAAUGAGUAUCCUAAAAAAAGAAAAAGGAAGACUCAACACCCUUCUCGUUAUUCAGAUUCCUCUGGAAUAAGCAGAAUUGCAGAUGGAUUCAAUGGAAUUUUCUCUGAUCAUUGUUACAGUGUCUGUUCUAUGAGACAGCCAGAUUUAAAAUAUUUUGACAACAAAGAUGAUGAUUCUGAUACCAAGACAUCAAAUGAAUUGCCAAAAUUUGCAGAUGGAAUCAAGGCCAGAAACAGAAAUCAGAGCUACCUGGUUCCCAGUCCUGUACUUAGAAUUCUAGACCACACUGCCUUUUCUACAGAAAAAUCUGCUGGUAUUGAAAUUUGUGAUGAAGAGUGUGACUCACCUGAAUCAGUCAACCAGCAAACCCAAGAGGAGAGUCCUAUAGAAGUUCACACUACUGAAGAUGUUCCAAUUGCUGUAGAAGUGCAUGCGAUUUCUGAGGAUUAUGAUAUAGAGACAGAAAACAAUUCCUCUGAGAGUCUCCAAGAUCAAACUGAUGAAGAACCACCAGUUAAACUUUGUAAAAUUCUUGACAAGAGCCAAGUUUGAAUGUGACUGCCCAGCAGAAAUGGCCUUUACUGAGAGCUGAUAGCAGUGGCCUCUAUAAAUGUGAACUUUGUGAGUUUAACAGCAAAUAUUUUUCUGACUUAAAGCAGCAUAUGAUCCUGAAGCAUAAAUGUACUGAUUCAAAUGUGUGUCGAGUAUGCAAGGAAAGUUUCUCUACCAAUAUGCUUCUGAUAGAACAUGCCAAACUACAUGAAGAGGAUCCCUACAUUUGUAAAUACUGUGAUUAUAAGACAGUAAUUUUUGAGAACCUCAGCCAGCACAUUGCAGACUCCCAUUUUAGUGAUCGCCUCUAUUGGUGUGAACAGUGUGAUGUACAGUUCUCCUCAAGCAGUGAACUCUACGUUUCCAGGAGCACAGCUGUGAUGAACAGUACUUGUGUCAGUUCUGUGAACAUGAAACUGAUGAUCCAGAAGACUUGCAUAGCCAUGUGGUAAAUGAGCAUGCAUGUAAAUUAAUAAAGUUAUAAGUAUAACAAUGGAGAACAUGGACAGUAUAGCCUCUUAAGCAAAAUUACCUUUGACAAAUGUAAAAACUUCUUUGUAUGGCAAGUAUGUGGUUUUCGGAGUAGAUGUCAUACAAAUGUUAACGGGCAUGUUGCUAUUGAACAUACUAAAAUUUUUCUUCAUGUUUGUGAUGACUGUGGGAAAGGCUUUUCAAGUAUGCUAGAAUAUUGCAAGCAUUUAAAUUCACAUUUAUCUGAAGGGAUUUAUUUAUGUCAAUAUUGUGCAUAUUCAACAGGACAAAUUGAAGAUCUUAAAAUUCAUCUAGAUUUCAAGCAUUCAGCUGACUUAUCUCAUAAAUGUAGUGACUGCUUGAUGAGGUUUGGAAAUGAAAGGGAAUUAAGUCACCUUCCAGUCCAUGAGACCACUUGAUUAUUCUCUUUAACUUACAGAAUGUUUAAAAUAAUAAAUUUAGCCUUUUUUUGGAGGUGAUUAAAUGGAUGAUUGUAAACACAACUUAUGAAAUUUGCCUUUAACAAGUAACUUUUGUAAAUUAUAAAAUCUUUUUGGCAUUGCUCCAUUUUCAGUAUAUAAAUAUAUCUUUAAUGUGGUAUUUUCAAUUGCGUGAUAGUUUGUAGUUUUAACCACUCUUGGUGACUGUCAUCCUGUUUCUUGCAUGUGCUCGAUUUCAUGAAUUGAAAAGAAACAAAUGUAUUGAAAUGAGCUGCAGUUUUCCUUCCUUAACCAUGGGUACUAGUAACUUUUUCUUUUUAAAACCCAAGACAAGAUUAGUUUUUUUGGUGUAUGAAGUCAUGAAAUUAUAUGACCAGAACUAAAAUGCAAUAUACAAUUAAAUCCAUGGAUACUCCCAUUAAUAAGAAAUAACACUAGGAGGCCACUAUUAUCACAGGAAGAAAAGAUUUGGUUUUCAAGGCAGUCUGUUUUUUUAAAAAAAAUUUUUGAGCCCCUAUCUAUUGUUGAAUAUUUUAAGAUAGGAUGAGGGAGGAACUAAUAAGGGCUUACACAAUAAUAAAUAACUGUAUCAUAACAAAAAAAAAAGAAAAGGAAUUGAUGUGAAAUAAUAACUUGAUUUCCAAGAGUUUCUGCUAAUUACAAAGAAGACACUAAUGAGGAAGUAACAGGGAAAGAUAUAAAUAUAUAGUUUAUACCUUCAUGACCAGUUUGCUUUUCUGCUAACUUAGGAAGAUCAGAUAUGAAAUAUGACCUUUGUUUAGAGAGACCUCUCACUCUACCACCUCCAUGUUAAUCAGUUUGACUUAAAAGACUGAGUUAAAAACUUAACUGAGAUACCUUCUCUUCACUAACUUAUGAACUCUCUCCAAUAACUGAUGGUCAAGAGCUUUUUUCCAAUCCUUUUCUGAAAUGUCUGAGGGACUGGAGCAGUUUGGAAAAUUUUCAAGUUGCAAAAAAUGUGGUAGCUAUUUAUUGAAUGGCUCUAAAAUUCAUUGUCCAAGCCAGAACAUUCUUGAUAGUGAAGGGGGCUGCUGAGUGAUAGAGCACCAUGAGGAGAUGAACUUCCCAACAGGCAAAUGGUUGGAAGCAUCCAAAAACAAAGAAUAUUUCUAUCAAAUAACAACAACAAUACACAUAAAAUCUAUGUAGAAUGAAUAACAAGUAAUAGCUGUUGACUCUGUUGGGAGAAGACACGUAAUUUAGAUUUUUAAAAAAUUUUAAUGUGUUUUCAUUUAUUGAAGAGACUGCCCUUUUCCCAAUGUUCUUGUCACAUUUGUUGAAAAUAAGUUGUCUGUAAAUGCAUGGAUUUAUUUCUGAGUUCUCUAUUCUGUAU